rnacentral:rRNA from 1 species
AACGUAGGAGACAAACGUUAUCCGGAGUUACUGGGCGUAAAGGGCGUGUAGGUGGUUGUGUAAGUCUGGCGUGAAAUUUUUCGGCUUAACCGGGAAAGGUCGUCGGAUACUGCAGAACUAGAGGACGGUAGAGGCGUGUGGAAUUCCGGGUGUAGUGGUGAAAUGCGUAGAGAUCCGGAGGAACACCAGUGGCGAAGGCGACACGCUGGGCCGUACCUGACACUGAUGCGCGACAGCAUGGGGGGCAAACAGG